UACCCGUAGCUCGAGUUGUGACCAUUAUUAUUGAGUCUAAAGCGUUCGUAGCUGGCUUAGAUAGUUCGUGCUUAAAUUGUUCAGUCUAACUGGACAACAUGGUGCGAAUACUUCUAGACUAGAGGCCGGGAGGAGGGCUGGGAACUUUUCGGGUAGGAGUAAAAUCCUUUAAGCCGAAAAAGACCACCAAUAGCGAAGGCACAGCCCUAGAACGGACCUGACGGUGAGGGACGAAGGCUAGGAGAACGAACCGGAUUAGAUACCCGGGUAGCCCUAGCAGUAAACGCUGCUUACUAUACGUUGCAUUUCCUUGAGGAAAUGCAGUGUGACAGCGAAGGCGUUAAGUAAGCCACUUGGGGAGUACAAUCGCAAGGUCGAAACUUAAAGGAAUUGGCGGGGGAGCACAAAAACGGGUGAAAUUUGCGGUUUAAUUGGAUUCAACUCCGGGAAUCUUACCAGAGGCGACAGCAAUAUGAAGGUCAGCUUAAAGGACUUGCCUAAUGCGCUGAAAGGUGUUGCAUGGCCAUCAUCAGUUAGUAUCUUGAGACGUCCCGUUAAGUCGGGUAACUAACAAGACCCUCUUCCUUAUUUACUAACAUGCGAUCCGUCGCGAAUGAGUAAAAUAGGGAGACUGCUUUCGAAAGAAAGAGGAAGGCGAGGGCGACGGUAGGUCAGUAUGGCCCUAAUCCUCUGGGCUACACGCGAAUUGCAAUGGUAAAAGCAAUAGGAUGCCACUCCGAAAGGAGGAGCCAAUCCCCUAAUCUUUACCCCAGUUCGGAUCGAGGUCUGUAACUCGGCCUCGUGAACGUCGGAAUCCGUAGUAACCGCGUUUCAACAAAGCGCGGUGAAUACUUUCCUGCUCCU
rnacentral:rRNA from 1 species